CGUUGGAUGUCUCCACUUAUAAAUCACUACCAGCCUUCUUCUUCCUCACACGAACCCGAGAGCAAACCAGAGAGAAGAAUUGGGCGAUUUGGGGCUGCGUUUUUAGGGUUCUAAGGUUGUGAUUUUUGUGGUGAGAUUUUAGAGAGUAUUUUGCAUCAAAAUUCCAAUAUCAAUCACACAUUUGAGCGAAUUUGAUUACUAAGUGAAGUAACUUUGCUAGCUUUUGGAUUAAAGAUUGCAAGAGGUACAUAUAUAUUCUCUUACUUCUACUUUUAAUAUUAUUAAACAAAUGUUAGAGGAGUUUGAAUAUCUUAAAUAUUCAUCCAUAGUGAAGUAGGUUCUGAGAUUAAAAUUGUGUGCUGCGGUGAUAACAGAAGGUUGAGAACUUGUGUGUAUUAGUGAAGUAGGUUCUGAUAAAUUUUACUGUGUGCUGCGGAGCUAUAAGGAAUAAACUUAUUGUGUGUUGUUUGAAUUGUUUGUUUUGCUAUUCACAUGCAGAUGGUUAGGUCACUAUUAUAGGGGAAAUGCUGCCCGAUUUUAUCUAGGAUAAAAAACAAUUAGUUUUAUAUAGACAUUCUAUAAGGAAGAAACUUAUUGUAUGUUGUUUGAAUUGUUUGUUUUGAUAUUCACAUGCAGAUGGUUAGGUCACUAUUAUAGGGGAAAUGCUGCCCGAUUUUAUCUAGGAUAAUAAAAAAUUAGUUUUAUAUAGACAUACAACUUUAUCACGUGCUUAUUUAGUGUUGUUUCUUUUCUUUUCCAUAGACAUAGAAGAAUAUAUGGAUAAACAGUGGAUGUCAGCAAAUAGGUUAUCUGCGGAAUUUAGGAAUGGGGUUGAUUUGUUCUUAAGGUUUUGUUCGGAA